UAUGCCCCUUGAGGCAUUGCAGCCCGGCCGUCAUAAGGCGGCAGAGAGAGCGGUGGAGGUCUGCACUGAGACUCCAACAUGUGGAGGACUCAGAGUCAUACUGUCCACUGACA